UACGUAGGGUCCGAGCGUUGUCCGGAAUUAUUGGGCGUAAAGGGCUCGUAGGCGGUUUGUUGCGUCGGGAGUGAAAACUUACAGCUUAACUGUGAGCGUGCUUCCGAUACGGGCAGACUUGAGGUAUUCAGGGGAGAACGGAAUUCCAGGUGUAGCGGUGAAAUGCGUAGAUAUCUGGAGGAACACCGGUGGCGAAGGCGGCAUCCUGGACCGACACUGACGCUGAGGAGCGAAAGCCAGGGGAGCAAACGGG
rnacentral:rRNA from 1 species